rnacentral:lncRNA from 1 species
CUUUUUAGGGCCGCACCUGCGGCAUAUGGAGGUUCCCAGGCCAGGGGUCCAAUUGGAGCUAUAGUUGCCGGUCUACACCACAGCCAUAGCAACACCAGAUCCGAGCCGCAUCUGUGACCUACACCACAGCUCAGGGCAACACCAGAUCCUUAACCCACUGAGCAAGGCCAAGGAUCGAACCUGUGUCCUCUUGGAAGCUAGUCAGAUUUGUUAACCGCCGAGCCAUGACGGGAAGUCCCGAAUUGGCGUUUCAGUACAGAUGACAGGUCACGGCCGGGCCAGACCCCUGAGGGCCCGAUUCCCAGCCUCACUGCUGAGCAUGGCUCCCUCACGAUCUCAGAGUCUGAUUAUACUCGAAAACUUCAAGGGAGAUGGCAGUGCCCAGGGCUGGGAAGGCUGGGGCGGGGGAGGGGGGACGGUGGCGGAGGUGGUUCACGCAUGACCUGUGUAGUCCUGGGCAGCGGAUGCUCGGAAUGACACAUGGACAUCAACCCCCAAGUCUCAGAACAAGACGGAACCACCACGAGAUCCCCAGGCCGCCAGGACCUCCACAGCCCCCAUCAUGGAACCAUCAGAGCCUCCCCGCCCCCAGCAGACGUGCCAGACAAGCCCUCUUCCGAGCGCUUUGCAAGACCUGAAUCACUGCAUCGUCACAACCCCCUGUGACUGCAGUUCCCAACUAUACUGCACCCGGGAAACCCCAACACCCAGGCCACACCCCCCACUAAUCAUGAUACCUGGGGGUGGGGGCAGGCACUGAUCUUUCUUAAAGACCCUCAGGCAAUCCCAAUGCCCAGCCAAGCCUGGAACAUUCAGCUAAGACAUGGUGCCAUGACCGUCCACAUUUUUCAGAUAAGACAACAGAGGCAGAGAGGUCAAUGCCUCCCCAAGGUCACGCGGCUGGCAAGCAGCAGAGCUGGGACCCGAACCCAGUGGGAUGACCGCCAAACACUAAGAAAUCACAUCCAGGAAAGGUACCGUAGAAAGAGCAUAAAUCACUAGCAUGGGAUGAAGUGAAGCAGGUGGGGAGAGCAACUGCGAGGGUGCAGGCGGUGACCUUCAAGAAAGGUGGGUGGCUGGUCGCCGGAGGCAGAUCGGACACCUGCAAGCAGGCAGGACCAGGCCACGCUUCCGAGAAGGGCGACCAGGCAGGCGGGGACCUCUGGAAAGCAUCUGUUCUAGAGCAGUGGUUCCCAAGCUGAAAAUCAGCCGGCAGGACUGUGAAAAGAGACAGCUGCCCCCAUCCCCAGAAUCUCUUGUUCACCAGGUCCCCGGCGGAGCCCUAGAAUCUGCAUCCCCAGAUAGUGCUGCUGUAGAAGCAGUGCUCUGAGCACAUGGGAGCAGUCAGCAAUGAUGGGCUGGGGACUGUGGACACACAGCACUGUCCCAGGGUCCCUCCUUGACGGGGUGGGGUCUGCCUGUUCCUCUGCUUAUUCUGUCCCCGGAGGCUGGAAUCCCUCCCUCUGUCAGCUCCUUCCCCAAUUCCGGCACUCCUCUUACCAUUCAGCCCAGGCUGUGGUCAGCUCCUCCUCCAGGAAGCCCUCCUGGAUCCUCGGCCUCCUGAGGCACAGGAUGGGGCCUUCCUUGUGUUCAGGAAGGCUGACAUCGGACCACAACCGGGUAUGAGCAACACAGAGCAGCCUGGUCCACUUGGGGCUUUGCCUCCGCUCCUGGUUCGAAAGCGCCCCCUUCCUCCAUUGUUCUAUCCUCCAUUCAGCCAGCAGGAACCAUCUAGUUUGUAAAUGGUUCCAGGAAUGCUGCCGGGGAGGUUGUUCAGAGCUACAGAGGACACAGGCGUGGGAAGAUGCAUCGGAUCUCCAGUGCCAGGCAGCCCUGUGUUCAAAUCCCAGCCUGGACUUUUAGGACAGGGCUUUGGCCACGAACCUCCCUUCCUUCCUUCACCUGUGAAACGGCAGCGAGCGGUAAACCUAACCUGCUCCAGUUACAAAGAUCCUCAGCUGAAGCACAGAACAGCCAGCCAGUGUCUCAGUUCUCCCAAGGCCGUAUGUAAGCACCCAUCUCAUUCUGAAGCAUCCGAGAGAAGCUAAUUACCUGCAACAUACACCUUAGGGCACUGGGGUUGAAGUCUGCCAAAGACGGCUGAUAGGGAAUGCAUUGAGCAACCUCGGGGUGAGCAGUACCCUCCAGGCACCCCGAGGGCUCCUGGAAAAAGAGAUCAAACAGCAGGGAGCAGAGCUGGGGCAGAGCUGGGCGUCAGAUGCCAAGAGGAGAAGGAGGCGGGCACAGGAACACGAGACAGCGACUAGCUGGCCAGGCUCCCCCUUCGCCCGUGUCUUAUCUGAGAUGCGGAGAUGAAGGAAGUCACGUGAGCCUUUAUACUAAUGCAUUUCUCUCUGCAAACGGAAAAUGCAAUUAAACAUUCCACUUACUGAGGUUCACAUUGCCAUGUACUGGAUAAUGAGCCUCCAGAAAGCAAUGUACGUUUGGUGUUCCUUCCUGAUGUUCUGGAAAACAAAACGCUUUCUUUCCAGAACACCGGAAUUUAGACUUCGGGCAUUUUAUGAUCCCAUUUAUAAAAAAACAAAAACAAAAAAACCAAAAAAAAAACCAAACAAACCACCCAUUGACACUUUCCAUCCUAAAAGAAUCCUCCUACUGCCUCUCAGCUCAGGAAAGGGUAGGUCCACUGCUCUCCACAACAAGCCGAAAGGUCCAUCCACCAAGCUGUAGGACCAGGCAUGGAGCAUCCCGGACCAGAGGUGGGCCGGUUGGGGAUCUGAGGCCAGCUUGAAUGUCCUGCUGCUUCCCUGGGACAUGCCAUUUUAUUUCUCUGGGCCAGUUGCCUUGUCGGUGGACUAUAUAAGGUCCCUUCCAGCCAUCAAAGUAUAAAACGCUACCAACACCCUACUUCAGUCAGCAUCUGCAAAAGGAACAAAUGCUUGCCUCCAACUUUCAGGAAGGUGAUAUUUGAACAAGGCUUUAAAUUAUGUUACGAAACAGAAAUAAACAAGACUCAUGACAUCAGGGGCCAUCAAGGACAGUGAAGGUCUGGCCGUCUAAAGUGAAACUGACCUCUCAGCGCAGGGGGAGAGCUGGCUGGCGACAGUCUUUGCGGGACACUUCCCUCCAGCCCUCCUGUGGCUAAGGGGGCCUGGCCCUCGCCUGAAGCAAAAGCUGGAAGCCAGCCCAGGCACUGUCCCCUGGCUUUCCGAGGGACUCCAGUUUUCCCCAUACCCUGCUCUACGGGGAGAGCUCCUGCGCCCUCAACCGCAGUAAACCUCGGACCAAAUAAAAGGUGCAAAUUAACAACCUCAUGGCCAGAGCGGAAUCCCAGCCACAUCCGAGUUCAAAAGACCUUAGGGCACAGCCGCCUGGUGAGAAGAAGGCUCCCUAGCACAGACAUGAGGCACUGGGCCUGGUACCUCACUUGCCCACGUCUCCCUUUUCUCAUCUGUAAAAUGGGUUAGGGACACAGCGACAUCACAGGCAGAGGAUUCAGGAGUCCUUACUGCCUGGAAGUUCCGCAGAGGAGUGCUUAGUGCCCACUAAGUGCUGGAUACCCGCUACUGCACCCUCGUCGUAAUAUCAGUAUCAACCGAGUCGGAGAGCCUCUCUACCGAUGGACGACGGGACUUCAGUGGAAACACAGCAGAAGCAGGAGCAGGCGGGAAGGUCCUGGGGAGAUGCAGCUGCCGCCUGCCUCCCAGGGACACUUUCAGACGUUCUGAAAUAAAGCCGUCUGCCAGGCAAUGGAGGGUUGACUGGAAAGGCGGGGAAGGAGCCUGGGUGGGGCGGCAGUGAAAAAUCACAACCAGAGGAACCUAAACAAGGUGUGUGCUCUGGAGGCGGGAAAAGUGCAGGGAGAAGUAGGUAAGAGGCAGGACAGCCCACACCACGGUGCACAGGCAGAAAGGCAGACAGUCAGCCUGGGUGGGAGGAAGAUGGAAAAUCCGGGACCAGAGGAGGUGGGUGAAAAUGAGAAUGUUGGAUAAGCAAUCGGGCCAUUAAGCUCUAUUGGGGGUGGGGGGACAAGGUUCAAAGGCACAGGGAGGCCAGUGAAACUCACAGGCCAGGGAGGACAAUGCAGUGAGAAAGUCUGGAAGAAGCCGGCCACACAGAGAGAAAACCAGAGCGUUUGUUAGGAAGGUGGAAAAAUAAAAUGGAGUGAAAUUUCUGUGCCGGUGAGCGAGGAGCACAGACCUUGGGGAUUUGGGGGGUUAACAGGGUUGAAGACACAGGGCACCACGGAAAAACGAAGUCCGAUGGGAGGAGGGGCAGAGGAUAUACGAAUUGAGAUGGCCUUGGUAACAAGUGCUCAAUAAAUUCAACUUAUUCCUCUAUUUAUCGACAAGCCUGUCCAGUGCUGGGAAGCAACUGACCGAGAGAGUUGUGUUUCUCUGGCUGGUUGGCUUGGGAAGGGAGGUUUUUUUUUUUUCCCCCCGCACCUGGGAGGGGAGGUUUGCUUGGGCUCUGAGACUGCACAGCCAGAUGGUGGCCCGCCAGCCCAGGUCGCCAGAGUUCCCGGGACGUGGGCGCAGCGCUGGAUUGCCGACUCCCGACUCCCGCCUCUCGGACCACAGGUGGGAGCGAACCAGCAAAACAGGUGAGAGCUCACUCCCUCCAGGUCAGGGUCGCCCGGCGCGGGGUCUCGUCGCCCUUCUCGGAGAUGAGGCCCGGGGGCAGAGUUCUCCACCGCAUCCCCUGGGCGGCGCGGGCGCCCCGCGCCUUUGUCCCUCCCGCAGCCCGCGGAGGCGCGGGUCAAGUUUGGGGAUCCCCAGGAGCGCUGAGCCGGCAGUCCCACGCUCCCGGGCCACUCAGCCGGGCCGCGAGCGCACGGCCGGAUCGGCGCUCGGGCUGUGGGGCCGGCAUCGGGGUAACUCAACGACCGGGCUCGGGCUCCGAGCUCCCGCUCCCCACUAACACUCGGGCGCCGGCCCACCACCCGCCCGCCCCGUGCCCGGGCGCAGCCUCACCUACCGCGGCCUCGCCGGAGGAGCCUCCAAAGUCGGCCGAUCCAAGACGUCCCGGAGACUCAGGGCCGAUCCCGGUCCCGCGGAGCUCCGAGCACGCCCGGCUCUCGGCGGAGCCUCAGCCCGGAGGCACAGUCUCGGGGCGGGCGGCGGGCUGAGCGGCCGCGGCAGGAGC